AACGAACGCUGGCGGCAGGCUUAACACAUGCAAGUCGAACGCCCCGCAAGGGGAGUGGCAGACGGGUGAGUAACGCGUGGGAAUCUACCCAGUUCUACGGAAUAACCCAGGGAAACUUGGGCUAAUACCGUAUACGCCCUACGGGGGAAAGAUUUAUCGGAAUUGGAUGAGCCCGCGUUGGAUUAGCUAGUUGGUGGGGUAAUGGCCUACCAAGGCGACGAUCCAUAGCUGGUCUGAGAGGAUGAUCAGCCACACUGGGACUGAGACACGGCCCAGACUCCUACGGGAGGCAGCAGUGGGGAAUAUUGGACAAUGGGCGAAAGCCUGAUCCAGCCAUGCCGCGUGAGUGAUGAAGGCCUUGGGGUUGUAAAGCUCUUUCAGUGGGGAAGAUAAUGACGGUACCCACAGAAGAAGCCCCGGCUAACUUCGUGCCAGCCGCCGCGGUAACAC
rnacentral:rRNA from 1 species